AUCCUCUCGGGGCCGCACCUGGAGAGUUUCCAGUAUUCUACCAGUCUCGACUAGGGGAGGGAGAGCCAAGCAGAGGCAUACUCAUUCCAUUCCUAGCUUGGGCAGUGGCUAGUGAGUGGAUGGUAAUCUGCUACAAGU